rnacentral:lncRNA from 1 species
GCUGUAUCGAUUGUUGAGAUCUGGCGACUUGUUUAAAUUUCAUCAGCCUCACUUCUAUGAACUCUCAGGCCUCACGUGUACCAGCUCUCUGCUCUCCUUUGCCUUGGGACGUUCCAUCCCUGGAAGUUUCCCUGCCCACAUCUUUGUAGAGAGUCCAUUCUCCAAGCUUCAGUGUGUCAUCUGUGAGGACCGUGACCCACCUGGUACAUCGCCUCAGGGCAUUCAUUUCAGGCUCCUUCUAAAUGGCCAAGGCACCCUUGGAAAUGCAAUGCUACAUCUCAAUGGGAUUUUCCAGUACAAAGAUUCUUUUCAAAUAACAUAAUUGUGGAUACACACCACUCCUACAGUGGUAAACCUCAGGUUCUCCU